GACGAACGCUGGCGGCGUGCUUAACACAUGCAGGUCGAACGCUGAAGCUCAGCUUUUGUUGGGUGGAUGAGUGGCGAACGGGUGAGUAACACGUGAGUAACCUGCCCCCUUCUUUGGGAUAACGCCCGGAAACGGGUGCUAAUACUGGAUAUUCACUGGUCUUCGCAUGGGGGUUGGUGGAAAGGGUUUUUCUGGUGGGGGAUGGGCUCGCGGCCUAUCAGCUUGUUGGUGGGGUGAUGGCCUACCAAGGCUUUGACGGGUAGCCGGCCUGAGAGGGUGACCGGUCACAUUGGGACUGAGAUACGGCCCAGACUCCUACGGGAGGCAGCAGUGGGGAAUAUUGCACAAUGGGCGCAAGCCUGAUGCAGCGACGCCGCGUGAGGGAUGGAGGCCUUCGGGUUGUGAACCUCUUUCGCUCAUGGUCAAGCCGCAACAAUGGUUGUGGUGAGGGUAGUGGGUAAAGAAGCGCCGGCUAACUACGUG
rnacentral:rRNA from 1 species